ACAAGAAAUAGAGGUUGCGGGAGAUCACAACGACUGUGGAGUGCCUAGACACGAUGAAACAGUCCUAAGGGUCCUCGCCGAAAUGGCUUAUUGUCAGGCAAUAAGUUGUUGGGCCACGGGUGAAUAACUCGUGGACUGUCUUAGUCAUCUGACUAAGGAGCGCUAUGAUUCUG
rnacentral:ncRNA from 2 species